UUUAUUUGCUUUGUUACAGAAGAAAUAUCUUUCGAAUUUCUGCAUGCCAUCUUACGAGAUUUAAACUGAUGAUCUAUAAUCCGGAAUUGCCGAAGUCCCGACGAGUCCGGAUUAACGACUUUUGACUGUAGAAGCAAAGCUAUGAUGGACCUUUUAAGCUUGGUGAAUGCUGUACAAAGCUUCAGGGUUGAUGGGAAUUACUGGAGUUCCAACGUCACUGAGUUUCUUUGAGAUCCGCUUCUGAAGCUAGUAGUUUGCUGAGUUCCGUUGCCACUCCUCAGCCAACUUGAUGUUUGAAGGCCAAUAAAGAGAUUUCGUCAACAUUAUGACUCUGAAGUUAAUGGUGUUCUACACAGAGGUAAUCAGAAGUCAUCCAAGUCCACUAUUAUUAAACAAUGGAAUAUGCAUGGUUUUUGGUUCGUCGAGCCAGAGCUUCAGGAAGAUUGGCCUUUGGUACCAGCUUCAAGUGAUUGCAACACAUUGAUUGAGGCCAUUACACAAGGACACUUCUUAACAGGAGCAGCUUUAAGCACUCUUCCAGAACCUAACCAAAUUCAAGAAACCAUAAGUUCCAGUGAUCGUUGGAGAAACUUGCAAAGGCUAUUUCAACACUUCUGGAAGUGAUGGAGUAGUGAGUAUUUAUCUAGGUUGCAGCAAGAUCUGAAAGUUGGUGAUAAAAUCCUUAUUAAGAACAAGAAUCUAUCUCUGCUAUGUUGGACAUUAGGUAGAAUUGUUAAAGUGUAUCCUGGUCUGGACGACAGGGCUUGAGUGAUGAGUUUAUGCAUUUCCUAUGGCAAAAUAAAGAGACCUAUAGCAAAGCAUGUCUUUAUCAUUCAAUUCAUGAUAUUAGAAACUAUAAUUUUUUUAUUUUUCAGGCCUAUUCAGUUUGAUAAUUUACAGUUUAUUGUUUGAACCCCCUUGGGAUUUCAAGGCUGGGGAUAUGUUUGAUGUUAUGCAAACUGUAUUUCUUGUCAUUGAACUGAGGAGCGGCGCAGAUGCAAAUUUGUCAGGCUUUUUAAGCGUGCAUUUGGAGUUUCAAGAUUGCUGGAAUUACUAGAGUUCCAACAUCGCUGAGUUUCUUUGAGAUCCACUUCUGAAGCUAGAGGUUUGCCAAGUUGUGUUGCCAUUCCUCAGCCAACUUGAUGUUUGAAGGCCAAUAAAGAGAUUUGGUCAACAUUAUGACUCUGAAGUUAUUGGAGUUUUACAGUGAGGUAAUUGCAAAUGACCUCACAAUUCACAGUUAUUAAACAAUAAAAUAUACACAGUACAUCAUCUCCAUAUUAGAAUCCUUGAAACCAAAAACAAUAUAUCAAUAUAUCUUCUACUAUGCAUUAAAAUUCUAUGGCAAGUCACAGCUGCAGUACUG